GAAAGAUGAAUCAAAGAAGGUAAUAAUCCUGUAGUCGAAAAUGUUGUCUCUCUUGAGUGGAUCCUGAGUACGACGGAGCACGUGAAAUUCCGUCGGAAUCUGGGAGGACCAUCUCCUAAGGCUAAAUACUCUCUAGUGACCGAUAGUGAACCAGUACCGUGAGGGAAAGGUGAAAAGCACCCCGGAAGGGGAGUGAAAUAGAACCUGAAACCGUGUGCUUACAAGUAGUCAGAGCCCGUUAAUGGGUGAUGGCGUGCCUUUUGUAGAAUGAACCGGCGAGUUACGAUUUGAUGCAAGGUUAAGCAGUAAAUGUGGAGCCGUAGCGAAAGCGAGUCUGAAUAGGGCGUUUAGUAUUUGGUCGUAGACCCGAAACCAGGUGAUCUACCCUUGGUCAGGUUGAAGUUCAGGUAACACUGAAUGGAGGACCGAACCGACUUACGUUGAAAAGUGAGCGGAUGAACUGAGGGUAGCGGAGAAAUUCCAAUCGAACCUGGAGAUAGCUGGUUCUCUCCGAAAUAGCUUUAGGGCUAGCCUCAAGUGAUGAUUAUUGGAGGUAGAGCACUGUUUGGACGAGGGGCCCCUCUCGGGUUACCGAAUUCAGACAAACUCCGAAUGCCAAUUAAUUUAACUUGGGAGUCAGAACAUGGGUGAUAAGGUCCGUGUUCGAAAGGGAAACAGCCCAGACCACCAGCUAAGGUCCCAAAAUAUAUGUUAAGUGGAAAAGGAUGUGGCGUUGCCCAGACAACUAGGAUGUUGGCUUAGAAGCAGCCAUCAUUUAAAGAGUGCGUAAUAGCUCACUAGUCGAGUGACACUGCGCCGAAAAUGUACCGGGGCUAAACAUAUUACCGAAGCUGUGGAUUGUCCUUUGGACAAUGGUAGGAG
rnacentral:rRNA from 1 species